AUGGCUUGCUACCCCUGCAAUCCUUACCCACACCUCCCUGCCGGCACCACAAUCAUCACUCCUAGACCUAAGCACGCGCAUCGAGGCUAUGUCGUCCUAGGUGGUGAGCUCCCGAUAGUCUGUGGUGAGUGGGUCAUUGCUACUCUAGUUCCAGGCAUCUCUCCUGAAGAUUUUCCGGCCGCCAAUGCAAUGAUCUCAGAGUUCCUGGAAGCUAGUGGUUGGCGGAGCAACUACAUGUCGUGAUGUGGUAUGGGCACUAUUCUGAUUCAGUUUACUACUGCAUGUUCGAGGGACUUUGCUGUCAGUAACAGUCUAUAUGAGAUUAGGGACUCUGUUCUUCGCAUCACUAGGCAUGACAAGAGCUUGAACUAUCGUAGUAUUGCUUUUACCCAUGAUGUUUGGCUCAUAUUGAUGAACUACCCGCUCGAGUGCUGGGAUGUUGGAGUUGUCAGUCGUACUGUCUCUUAGUAUGGUAGGUUUUUGAUCUUGAACAAAGAUCCUAGAGACAAAACUAGAAAUAUUGUGAAAGUCAGAGUUAUGAGUGUAGAUACACUUCGUGUUAGUAUUAUUGUAUUGCGCAAUCUUGAUGAUGUUGGAUAUGGUGACUCAUGGACAUGCCCCACUUACAUUCUAUCACGUGAGGUAAUUGGAAAUCAUGGUGGAGAUGAGGAUCCUCUUCCUCCUAAUGGAGGUAAUUCCCAUCCACUACCACAAAUCUAG
rnacentral:rRNA from 1 species